GACGAACGCUGGCGGCGUGCCUAAUACAUGCAAGUAGAACGCUGAAGAGAGGAGCUUGCUCUUCUUGGAUGAGUUGCGAACGGGUGAGUAACGCGUAGGUAACCUGCCUGGUAGCGGGGGAUAACUAUUGGAAACGAUAGCUAAUACCGCAUAAAAUGGAUUAUCGCAUGAUAAUCCAUUGAAAGGUGCAAAUGCAUCACUACCAGAUGGACCUGCGUUGUAUUAGCUAGUUGGUGGGGUAACGGCUCACCAAGGCGACGAUACAUAGCCGACCUGAGAGGGUGAACGGCCACACUGGGACUGGGACACGGCCCAGAAUCCUACGGGAGGCAGCAGUAGGGAAUCUUCGGCAAUGGACGGAAGUCUGACCGAGCAACGCCGCGUGAGUGAAGAAGGUUUUCGGAUCGUAAAGCUCUGUUGUAAGGGAAGAACGAGUGUGAGAGUGGAAAGUUCACACUGUGACGGUAUCUUACCAGAAAGGGACGGCUAACUACGUG
rnacentral:rRNA from 1 species